UCCUGGACGGUUGGGUUGAUGCACCUGUGUGGCUGGGUCAGUGUGCCUGUACGCUUGGGUUGAUGCACCUGUGUGGCUGGGUCAGUGUGCCUGUACGGUUGGGUUGAUGCACCUGUGUGGCUGGGUCAGUAAACCUGUACCUGAGGGCUUUGUGCUAGGGGGGCGCUUGUGGAACGGUCAGAGCAUGAGCGAUGCUUGACACGGGAUUAAACUGGGGGCGUGCAAAAACGCUCCUGCAUUUCUGCCCCUUGACUUAAUUCACUGAGGCAUGGGUGAAAAACUCCCGGGUUUCUGUUCAUGGCUGCAAAACAGUAGAUGCUGCUGCUGUUGCUAUGUUUGAUUUACAGAAAUGCAAAGUACUUCCAUUUUAUAUGCUUCCAUCUUCUUUUAAAAAAUUAAUUUGCCUACAGUAAAAAGGUAACCGGUUUUAGGCUUUUUACAGGGAUUUUUUUUUUUACAAAAAUAUAGUGUUGAGGCCAUAUUUGACUUGAAAGUGUACCAGUGAAAACAAGGAUGUUCAGAAAAGAAACUGAUGGCUAGUGGUGACUCAGGAGAAUGGAGUAUGCUGCAUUUCCAACACUUCUUCGUCCAUGCUAUCCAGGACUCUUCUUCGCAGCUUAGAUACAGCUGGGGGUGGGUGGGGGGGAGGAAGAGCAGAACUGCAACAGAUUUUGAGCUUUAUUUUUCAUUGUAAACAGCCACUCUUUAGUUAUAAUGGUUCUAAGCAAAAUUUCACAGAUCCGUCAAACGUAAUCUAUGCAGAAAUGCCUGAGUAUGCAGAGAAAAGUGGAACAACUGUUGUGAGGGGUGAAUUUACCUCCCUUGCGUCAGUGAAGAUGCCCAAGGAAAACGCUUUGAAAAUGUCACCAGCGUUCAGGAAAGGUUUGUGAAGUAACACUGAAAGCACAGUAUGUCAACAGCUGACAUUCAAGACUGGAAAAAAACAGGAUUCAUGUCGUCAGUUAAGGAUCUGGUGCAGCAGAAAGGCUGCAGCAGGACUUUUUUGCAGGUAUUCUUUGAGGUAUUCUCUCUCCAAUUUUAUUUUUUCCAUAAAGUUGCUCUUUAGAUCUCAGGAAACAUAUGGACCAUUAUUUAGGGGUUUGGUCUAAUCUGCUGAGGUCUCAAGGAGCAAAUGCACAGUGGAGACACUGUAGGGAGUUAAUAAGGUCUUCUCCAAGUAGGGAAGAAAGGUGGAAAAGGGGAAAAAGAGGGUUAAAAAUCUGCAGAAACGUUGGCAAACUUUGUAUAUAUUUUUAUCUGCAGAUCGUUGUGAGCGUAACACUAUAAAACGCACAAAGUACCUUCCUGCAUCCCCUGUUUUGCAGAUGCACUCAUAAGUAAGUGAGGGUACGUGUAUGCCUGCAGCAUUACCCCUACAAGAACUCAUUAAUAUCGUGGAGUCUGUCUAGGCGCUCCUGCAGCAGUUGUAAUCAUAUCCCCCAGAGAGCAGAGAGACCCAGCCUGAAGCCUCAAAGAAAGUGAGGUUUGAUUUUAAGAAGCUUUAGAAACCUACACCUCCCACUGAUGAAAAUGAGAACUGCAGGCCCUGGGAAUCCCCAUCCUAAGGCCUUCCAUUUUCUCUCCUGCAAGAAACUGAUUUGCAAGGAUAUUAGCAACAGACAGGCCUUUUGAUUCUGUAAUACCUCCUUCCUAUGACUUACUCAGCAGCUUGUAGCAGCCGUAGGAGAAAAACAAUUAUGUGAUCAUCCUUCAUGGGGAAAUACUGAAAAAUGGGAGGGAUUUGGAAAUAAAAAAGACUUUACAAACCGGACCA
rnacentral:lncRNA from 1 species